AUAUAUGUCUCUGCUGGGGCAUAGCAUAUUGUAUACAAAUACACAAAAUCAAGGAUAACAAAUUCAAUAAGGUAGCAGUAAUUUAGUUCCAUUAAUUAUUGCUAUCAUUUUGAUGAACUAUUUCAAAUAUGAAGUCACAAAUAAUACUUUAUGUAUGAUAUGCAUUUUGUAGCUCAAUUUCCAAAUUUUUAUCAUCAGGUUAAAUCUUUGCAAUGUUGCAAAGCAGAAAACAAAUUUUCAAGUGUUGGACAGCCUGAAUAUUCCUGUAAGAUUUGAUUCCAUUUCAUAUAUUCUUGAAAACUGAAACCAUGUGUAUUAAACCUACACAGCUACUUUUGCAUAGGUACUAUUCUUGUACAAAAAAAUCUGUAGUACUACUUUUAAUUUUCAGUACUAUUGUGUUACUUUAAAUUAUUGUAAUAUUUAGGUACAUGUAUCUGUAUUUUACAGUACUUGAUUUGUACCCA
rnacentral:lncRNA from 1 species